GAUGAACGCUGGCGGCGUGCCUAAUACAUGCAAGUAGAACGCUGAAGGAGGAGCUUGCUCUUCUGGAUGAGUUGCGAACGGGUGAGUAACGCGUAGGUAACCUGCCUGGUAGCGGGGGAUAACUAUUGGAAACGAUAGCUAAUACCGCAUGACAACUGUUAUUGCAUGAUAACUGUUUAAAAGGGGCAACUGCUCCACUACCAGAUGGACCUGCGUUGUAUUAGCUAGUUGGUGAGGUAACGGCUCACCAAGGCGACGAUACAUAGCCGACCUGAGAGGGUGAUCGGCCACACUGGGACUGAGACACGGCCCAGACUCCUACGGGAGGCAGCAGUAGGGAAUCUUCGGCAAUGGACGGAAGUCUGACCGAGCAACGCCGCGGGAGGGAAGAAGGGUUUCGGAUCGUAAAGCUCUGUUGUAAGAGAAGAACGAGUGUGAGAGUGGAAAGUUCACACUGUGACGGUAUCUUACCAGAAAGGGACGGCUAACUACGUG
rnacentral:rRNA from 1 species